AUGUCCGGAAGCACGGGAGAACGUUCUUUUGCUGAUAUUAUUACCAGUAUUUGAUACUGGGUUAUUCAUAGCAUUAAUAUACCUUCCCUAUUCAUUGCGGUUUGGUUAUUUGUCAGUACGGGUUUAGCUUAUGGCGUGUUUAUUAGUCCUAGGCCAAACGAGUAUUUCACGGAAAGCUGACAAGGAAUUCCGUUAAUAACCGGCCGUUUUAAUUCUUUAGAACAACUCGAUGAAUUUAGUAGAUCCUUCUAG
rnacentral:rRNA from 1 species